GACGAACGCUGGCGGCGUGCUUAGCACAUGCAAGUCGAACGGGCCCGCCCCUGUUUUUGGGGGUGGGUUGAGUGGCGAACGGGUGAGUAUCACGUGAGUAACCUGCCCCCUGCUCCUGGAUAACUGCUUGAAAGGGCGGCUAAUACGGGGUGUGCCGGCUGGUCCGCAUGGGCCUGGUCGGGAUAGUUUCAUCUUCGGGUGUUUCGGUGGGUGAUGGGCUCGCGGCCUAUCAGCUUGUUGGUGGGGUGAUGGCCCACCAAGGCGGUGACGGGUAGCCGGCCUGAGAGGGUGGGCGGCCACACUGGGACGGAGACACGGCCCAGACUCCUGCGGGAGGCAGCGGUGGGGGGUAUUGCACAAUGGGCGGAAGGCUGAUGCAGCGACGUCGCGUGAGGGAGGGAGGCCUUCGGGUUGUGAACCUCUUUCUCCGGUGGUGAAGGCCCUGUCCGUUGCGGCGGGGUUGACGGUAGCCGGGUAUGAAGCGCCGGCUAACUACGUG
rnacentral:rRNA from 1 species